GCCUUCGUGGUAUAAUGGUAGAAUACUCGAAGCGUAUUCUUGAGGUCCAGGGUUCGAAUCCUGGCGAGGGCA
rnacentral:tRNA from 1 species